rnacentral:rRNA from 1 species
AUUGAACGCUGGCGGCAGGCCUAACACAUGCAAGUCGAGCGGUAGAAGGGAGCUUGUUCCUGGAUUCAGCGGGGGACGGGGGAGUGAUGGCUAUGAAUCGGCCAGGGCGUGGGGGAUAACGUUCGGUAAUGGGCGCGAUAACCGCAAACGUCCUGAGGGGGAAAAUGGGGGAUGUGGACACUCCGCCCUCUUGCAAUAGGCUAGGUCGGAUUAGCUAGUUGGUGGGGUAAAGGCCUACCAAGGCGACGAUCCGUAACUGGUCUGAGAGGAUGAUCAGUCACACUGGAACUGAGACACGGUCCAGACUCCUACGGGAGGCAGCAGUGGGGAAUAUUGGACAAUGGGCGAAAGCCUGAUCCAGCCAUGCCGCGUGUGUGAAGAAGGUCUUCGGAUUGUAAAGCACUUUAAGUUGGGAGGAAGGGCAGUAAGUUAAUACCUUGCUGUAUUGACGUUACCAACAGAAUAAGCACCGGCUAACUUCGUG